rnacentral:rRNA from 1 species
AACGAACGCUGGCGGCGCGCCUAACACAUGCAAGUCGAACGAGAAUCCGGGGCAACCCGGUAGUAAAGUGGCAAACGGGUGAGGAAUACAUGGGUAACCUACCCUUGAGAAGGGAAUAACCCGCCGAAAGGUGAGCUAAUACCCUAUACGCUAUCUUUUUUUCGAAAAGGAUAGGAAAGCCGGGUCGAGGACCUGGUACUCAAGGAGGGGCUCAUGUCCUAUCAGCUUGUUGGUGGGGUAACGGCCUACCAAGGCUACGACGGGUAGCUGGUCUGAGAGGAUGAUCAGCCACACUGGCACUGAGAUACGGGCCAGACUCCUACGGGAGGCAGCAGUGAGGAAUAUUGCGCAAUGGGCGAAAGCCUGACGCAGCGACGCCGCGUGGGGGAUGAAGGUUUUCGGAUUGUAAACCCUUUCAUGAGGAAAGAUAAAGUGGUAACCACUUAGACGGUACCUCAAGAAGAAGCCACGGCUAACUUCGUG